CACAGCACUUGCCAAGCCCAGCUACUCAUGCCUGAGCAGCUGGCUGAUUUUUUCAUAAAAUAAAAGAAGUCCCUGAAUUGAGAAAUAUGUGUGUCUCCUAGAUUGGAUUGUGCAGUGAACAGUAGCCAGAGCGAGCAGUAAUCCAUCAUGGCCUGGCGUUGGCGGGUGCUGCCAGCUGAAACCCUGGUGGAACUGUCAUGAAGCUUUUUACAUGCUGCACCAAUACUCGGUCUAGCUGCAGCUUGGCUGGGUCACAGAGGCUGAGGAGGGAGCUAAGCCUGGAGAGCUGGGGCCCUACAGAUUCAGGACCACGGCCAGCACCCACACUGCCUUCCGUAAACACUGAGCUAAACCUAGAGCCUGGGUGA
rnacentral:lncRNA from 1 species